rnacentral:tRNA from 1 species
AUUCCGAUAGUUUACCUAAAAACACUGGUCUUGUAAACCAAAAAUGAAGAACACCACCUUCUCGGAAUU